rnacentral:rRNA from 1 species
AACGAACGCUGGCGGCAUGCCUAACACAUGCAAGUCGAACGAUCCCUUCGGGGAUAGUGGCGCACGGGUGCGUAACGCGUGGGAACCUGCCCUUAGGUUCGGAAUAACUCAGAGAAAUUUGAGCUAAUACCGGAUAAUGUCUUCGGACCAAAGAUUUAUCGCCUUUGGAUGGGCCCGCGUUGGAUUGGCUAGUUGGUGGGGUAAAGGCCUACCAAGGCGACGAUCCAUAGCUGGUCUGAGAGGAUGAUCAGCCACACUGGGACUGAGGCACGGCCCAGACUCCUACGGGAGGCAGCAGUGGGGAAUAUUGGACAAUGAGCGAAAGCCUGAUACAGCAAUGCCGCGUGAGUGAUGAAGGCCUUAGGGUUGUAAAGCUCUUUUACCCGGGAUGAUAAUGACAGUACCGGGAGAAUAAGCCCCGGCUAACUCCGUG